rnacentral:rRNA from 1 species
ACGUAGGGUGCAAGCGUUAAUCGGAAUUACUGGGCGUAAAGCGUGCGCAGGCGGUUUUGUAAGACUGUCGUGAAAUCCCCGGGCUUAACCUGGGAAUGGCGAUGGUGACUGCAAGGCUAGAGUUUGGCAGAGGGGGGUAGAAUUCCACGUGUAGCAGUGAAAUGCGUAGAGAUGUGGAGGAACACCGAUGGCGAAGGCAGCCCCCUGGGUCAAAACUGACGCUCAUGCACGAAAGCGUGGGGAGCAAACAGG